AUUGAACGCUGGCGGCAGGCCUAACACAUGCAAGUCGAGCGGAGCGGCGGACGGGUGAGUAAUUCCUAGGAAUCUGCCUGGUAGUGGGGGAUAACGUCCGGAAACGGGCGCUAAUACCGCAUACUAUCAGAUGAGCCUAGGUCGGAUUAGCUAGUUGGUGGGGUAAAGGCCUACCAAGGCGACGAUCCGUAACUGGUAUGAGAGGAUGAGCAGUCACAUUGGAACGGAGACACGGUCCAGACUCCUACGGGAGGCAGCAGUGGGGAAUAUUGGACAAUGGGCGAAAUCCUGAUCCAGCCAUGCAGAGUGUGUGAAGAAGGGCUGCGGAUUGUAAAGCACUUUAAGUUGGGAGGCGAUACCAACAGAAUAAGCACCGGCUAACUUCGUGCCAGCAGCCGCGGUAAUUG
rnacentral:rRNA from 1 species